AUUGAACGCUGGCGGCAGGCCUAACACAUGCAAGUCGAGCGGAUGAAGGGAGCUUGCUCCUGGAUUCAGCGGCGGACGGGUGAGUAAUGCCUAGGAAUCUGCCUGGUAGUGGGGGAUAACGUCCGGAAACGGGCGCUAAUACCGCGUACGUCCUGAGGGAGAAAGUGGGGGAUCUUCGGACCUCACGCUCUCAGAUGAGCCUAGGUCGGAUUAGCUAGUUGGUGGGGUAAAGGCCUACCAAGGCGACGAUCCGUAACUGGUCUGAGAGGAUGAUCAGUCACACUGGAACGGAGACACGGUCCAGAGUCCUAAGGGAGGCAGCAGUGGGGAAUAUUGGACAAUGGGCGAAAGCCUGAUCCAGCCAUGCCGCGUGUGUGAAGAAGGUCUUCGGAUUGUAAAGCACUUUAAGUUGGGAGGAAGGGCAGUAAGUUAAUACCUUGCUGGUUUGACGUUACCAACAGAAUAAGCACCGGCUAACUUCGUG
rnacentral:rRNA from 1 species